rnacentral:rRNA from 1 species
UAGAGUUUGACUCCGUGGCGUACAGGACGAACGCUGGCGGCGUGCUUAACACAUGCAAGUCGAACGGAAAGGCCCUGCUUUUGUGGGGUGCUCGAGUGGCGAACGGGUGAGUAACACGUGAGUAACCUGCCCUUGACUUUGGGAUAACUUCAGGGAAACUGGGGCUAAUACCGGAUAGGAGCUCCUGCUGCAUGGUGGGGGUUGGAAAGUUUCGGCGGUUGGGGAUGGACUCGCGGCUUAUCAGCUUGUUGUGGGGGUAGUGGCUUACCAAGGCUUUGACGGGUAGCCGGCCUGAGAGGGUGACCGGCCACAUUGGGACUGAGAUACGGCCCAGACUCCUACGGGAGGCAGCAGCGGGGAAUAUUGCACAAUGGGCGGAAGCCUGAUGCAGCAACGCCGCGUGCGGGAUGACGGCCUUCGGGUUGUAAACCGCUUUCGCCUGUGACGAAGCGUGAGUGACGGUAAUGGGUAAAGAAGCACCGGCUAACUACGUG